UUCGACGACAUCCUAGACUUACAGUUACAGAACCCAGUCACCCCACCACCCAUCUUCUCGAUUUGUCAUCUCUGCGUAUAUAAUUGAUCUGUUACCGCCAGUCCGGAUAAGAAGAUUUAUGAAUGCCCUUCGCUAUUUGCUCGAUUGGAAGUGCUCAAUAUCUCUGAAAAUCCUCUCACUGAUAGAUGUGUAUAUUGCCUCUCCAUUAUCUUGGGAAAUUGCUAGGCUCUUUGCAGCUUGAGCAUAGAGCGCUGUUCUGUCACGUCUACAACAAUUGAAAAGGUUGCCGAUGCAUUGAAUGCUGAUUAUGUGCUUGAGCAACUUUGAAUAGGUAUGCUUGACAUAUGGUAAUUGCAAUACACAUUAGUGGUUGGACUAUUUUGUAUGUUGAUUUGAUCUUUAGAUGUCU
rnacentral:sRNA from 1 species